UUAUUAAGGCGUUAAUAACAUGUUUAUAACAGUGCACACAGGUGGUUAUUAAGGCGUUAAUAACAUGUUUAUAACAGUGCACACAGGUGGUUAUUAAGGCGUUAAUAACAUGUUUAUAACAGUGCACACAGGUUUUAUUAAGGCAUUAAUAACAUGUUUAUAACAGUGCACACAGGUGGUUAUUAAGGCGUUAAUAACAUGUUUAUAACAGUGCACACAGGUUUUAUUAAGGCAUUAAUAACAUGUUUAUAACAGUGCACACAGGUGGUUAUUAAGGCGUUAAUAACAUGUUUAUAACAGUGCACACAGGUUUUAUUAAGGCAUUAAUAACAUGUUUAUAACAGUGCACACAGGUGGUUAUUAAGGCAUUAAUAACAUGUUUAUAACAGUGCACACAGGUGUUAUUAAGGCAUUAAUAACAUGUUUAUAACAGUGCACACAGGUUUUAUUAAGGCAUUAAUAACAUGUUUAUAACAGUGCACACAGGUGUUAUUAAGGCGUUAAUAACAUGUUUAUAACAGUGCACACAGGUGGUUAUUAAGGCAUUAAUAACAUGUUUAUAACAGUGCACACAGGUGUUAUUAAGGCAUUAAUAACAUGUUUAUAACAAGGCACACAGGUGUUAUUAAGGCGUUAAUAACAUGUUUAUAACAGUGCACACAGGUGGUUAUUAAGGCAUUAAUAACAUGUUUAUAACAGUGCACACAGGUGUUAUUAAGGCAUUAAUAACAUGUUUAUAACAAGGCACACAGGUGUUAAUUAAGGCAUUAAUAACAUGUUUAUAACAGGGCACACAGGUGGUUAUUAAGGCAUUAAUAACACGUUUAUAACAGUGCACACAGGUGUUAUUAAGGCAUUAAUAACACGUUUAUAACAGGGCACACAAGUGGUUAUUAAGGUGUUAAUAACAUGUUUAUAACAG